rnacentral:lncRNA from 1 species
UGCAGGGCUUGUCAUCACCUGCCCUCCUUGUCCCUUGCUCUAUAACUGGAAUUAAUAGAUGUUUUAUGAAUAAGCCCAGCUUACCAGCUGCUGGUUCUGCUGGUGGCUGCUCUGCACCUUGAAGGGUUUGCAUGGCUCACAAACAGGUUUUGGAUAGAGUGUAUUUAUUUCCUUCUGCAAACAUGCUCGUGAAUGCAUGGACAGAAGACCAGGAACAGCACCUGCAGAGGCUUUCAGUGAUGCUGAGUGUAUCUAUCAGCCCCAGACACCUGUGGCUGCUCACCUUCCCUUUCAGAGCAAGGCCUUUUUCACAGCACUGCUCUAGUUCUGUGUUUUUCCAUUUGCUGGUUGCUACCGUUGUUCUCCUUUUGUUUCCAAAAAGAAAAAAACCCCAAAAAACCAGAUGUCUUUAGUGCUGUUUACCCCAGGAAACAUUUUGAGCAUUCAGUAAUAAAACUGGGAGGAAAUCCUUCA